AUGACUCAUGGCCCGAGCGCUCAUAGCAAGAAACCCCCAUUGAUGAUGAGACACCCAGAACUCCACCACCUCAAGUCACCACUCCGGUACUUGACGAUGAAACCUACAUGGUGCAGACCACUCCAUCACCGAAGGCGUCGCCCGCAUAUCGCAGGCUUCGCAAAGGCCACAGGUCACCAUGUCGAGCAUUCCAAAAGGGGAAGUGCAACAAAGCUCAGUAGCAGUCAAGUGUUUCCUGAAGCCACCCCUACUGCGAAUGUCUCUGAGUCUGAAGCUAAAGCUGCUGAAGACAUUCCGGCUGCAUCAGCCGGUGAAAAUCAAGGAGAAAGAGAAGAAGAAAGAGUUGCCACACCCCCUACCACAGACCAAGUCAUUCUCGAGGAGAAUGUGAUUGUGCCAGACCCUCCUGUUCUGCAACGAACGGAGGUUGAAAACAUUGAGGCUGCCACAAACAAUGCUACUGACGCCAAUGACGUUGUCAUGGCCUGCUACCUCCUGAGCACUGCGUUGGUUUUCCCUUGA
rnacentral:rRNA from 1 species